UACGAAGGGGGCUAGCGUUGCUCGGAAUUACUGGGCGUAAAGGGAGCGUAGGCCGAUAGUUUAGUCAGAGGUGAAAGCCCAGGGCUCAACCUUGGAAUUGCCUUUGAUACUGGCUAUCUUGAGUGUGGGAGAGGUAUGUGGAACUCCGAGUGUAGAGGUGAAAUUCGUAGAUAUUCGGAAGAACACCAGUGGCGAAGGCGACAUACUGGCCCAUUACUGACGCUCAUGCGCGAAAGCGUGGGGAUCAAACAGG
rnacentral:rRNA from 1 species